GACGAACGCUGGCGGCGUGCUUAACACAUGCAAGUCGAGCGGAGCGGCGCACGGGUGCGUAACGCGUGAGUAACUGCCCCCCUCUCUGGGAUCAAAGUUGUAAACGGCUGCUAAUACCGGAUAGCGGGGGAUGACUCGCGUCCUAUCGGCUUGUUGGUGGGGUAGGGGCCUACCAAGGCGACGACGGGUAGCCGGCCUGGGAGGGCGACCGGCCACAUUGGGCUGAGAUACGGCCCAAAAUCCUACGGGGGGCAGCAGUGGGGAAUGUUGCACACUGGGGGAAACCCUGAGGCAGAAACGCCGCGUGCGGGAUGAGGGCCUUCGGGUUGUAAACCGCUUUCAGCGAUGACGCGGUAGUGGCAGAAGAAGCACCGGCUAACUACGUGCCAGCAGCCGCGGUAAUAC
rnacentral:rRNA from 1 species